rnacentral:rRNA from 1 species
AGAGUUUGAUCAUGGCUCAGAAUCAACGCUGGCGGCGCGCCUAACACAUGCAAGUCGAACGAGAAAGUGGAGCAAUCCAUGAGUACAGUGGCGUACGGGUGAGUAACACGUGGGUAAUCUACCUCUUAGUGUGGAAUAACUUUGGGAAACCGAAGCUAAUACCGCAUAAGCUCGAGAGAGGAAAGCAGCAAUGCGCUGAGAGAGGAGCCCGCGGCCGAUUAGCUAGUUGGCAGGGUAAAAGCCUACCAAGGCAUAGAUCGGUAGCCGGCCUGAGAGGGCACACGGCCACACUGGCACUGAAACACGGGCCAGACUCCUACGGGAGGCAGCAGUGGGGAAUCUUGCACAAUGGGGGAAACCCUGAUGCAGCGACGCCGCGUGAGCGAUGAAGCCCUUCGGGGUGUAAAGCUCUUUCGGCAGGGAAGAUAGUGACGGUACCUGCAGAAGCAGCUGCGGCUAACUACGUGCCAGCAGCCGCGGUAAUACGUAGGCAGCGAGCGUUGUUCGGAGUUACUGGGCGUAAAGGGUGUGUAGGCGGUUGUUUAAGUUUGGUGUGAAAUCUCCCGGCUCAACUGGGAGGGUGCGCCGAAUACUGAAUGACUAGAGUACGGGAGAGGAAAGUGGAAUUCCUGGUGUAGCGGUGAAAUGCGUAGAUAUCAGGAGGAACACCGGUGGUGUAGACGGCUUUCUGGACCGUAACUGACGCUGAGACACGAAAGCGUGGGUAGCAAACAGGAUUAGAUACCCUAGUAGUCC